UUCUUUUUCCUUCCCGCCCCCCUUUUUUUUAAGUCAGAAGGCAAAGCUCUGAAGAGGCCAUCCAUGAAGUUUAUCCUUAAACAAGAGCUCAUAUGAGAUCGCCUAGGUGGGCACGAGAAAACCAGCGAGGGUUCGGAAGGGGAGAGGGUGGGUCCCCAGCUCCUGGCGCUAUCCAGGUGAACACCUUUAGUCCCUGCACUGAAAGUGAGCUGGGACCUCAGCCAAAGCUAGCAACCACCACUGUCAUUCGUGAGCGGUUCUUGUUGCUAUGCUAAGAAGCUGCCGUGGUUUUGCUGUGUCCCCAAGAGGGCCUCCCAGCAACAGUGAACAAUGUGCCAGGUGACCCCUAGCAGCAGGGACAUCUGUCAGCAGCUUCAGAAUUUGCACAGCCCAUCUGGACUUGUCCAGGGCCCAGGACACGUGCGUAUGUUCCUGACUGCACCCCAAAUCUUAAGCAAAGUGCCACCCAUCUCCAACGGUUCUUUUAAGGGUACAAUGAAGGCAUCUGGAACAAUGUCAAGCUCAGCUCUAUGGUUGUCCAUCUUCCUUCCUCUUAUAACUCCAGUUAUACAGUAAUUGGCAGAAUGCCAACGUCACCUGUACAAAGCAUCCCAUUGGCCAAUGACUCAGAAGUUUACAAGAAAGAAAAAGAACCACAAUUAACCACAUUGUGUGAGUGUUUGAGCAACGGUACCACCGCUGGAAAAAGCAUACAGUCUGCUUUGGAGCAGCUUUGAAGAUCAGCCUUCAUGCACUGAGGUGUUACAAAGAAGAAAUCAGACAUGGUCCCUCGACUUCUGGUGUCUGCGAUCUGACCAAAAAGGUAAGACAGCUUAAAGAUGAGAUCUAUAGAGAUGUGGGGGAAGGGUCAACUAGAAAUGUCCUUAACACUUUUUAUAAUUCACAUAGGCUUUGACGAGGCCAAAUUUGAAAGGAAAAUAUUUUGUUAAUUUUUUAUAUUCUUAGCUUUAUUCACAUUUAUCAUGACUUCAUUAAGCUUUCAUUUUCAUGUUUGCUUUAAAUUUUACUAUGCCAUAGUCAUUAAGUUUAAGAGGAGAUGAUAAGACCAAAGUGAAAUGGGUCAAAAAAAAUUAGAUGACAUAGUUUUUUUGAAGGAAAGAAAUCUGUCAAUGACAGCAUUUUUGUUUUGAACAAAAUAUAAACCAUCGUUAAAAUCUUUGCCUGACAAUAUCCACUUAUGUAAUCAUUCAAUGGAAACAUUUGUUAGAGUGAGAUGUGCAGGUUUUAUGAUGCCCCCUCUAUGUAAAAGAAAAUGUAAGGGUGCCUGGGUGUCUCAGUCGACUUUGGCUCAGGUCAUGAUCUUGUGGUUCGUGGGUUC